ACAUCUGAUUCCUGCCUUUUCUUUCCUGUGCAGCCCUGACACUGCGAUGAUGAUACAGCUGGAAUAGAAGUCUUCUCACUCACCCUGGAGCAGGAAAUAAAAGCAGAGUCUCCUCUCCUCCCUGCCCGCCUUUCCCAGGGCCCUGGCCUCAAGGAACCACUGUGCCAGACCACCGUGGAGGACUUCUCACUUCUCAGGAAAAAGCCUCCUGACUCCAACAGAAGUAUUCGAAGCCCAUGGAAAACCUCACAAAUCCUAGAGAGAGUUAAAGAGGUAAGUGAAUUCACCUCCUUUCUGAGUAGCAGGUGUGGACCCGUGGUGAAAGAUAGGAACUGCUGGAGGAAGGAAGCCAGGUGAGAGGAAUAUGAUAUCUGCUCCUUUCCUAGGCUCGCAGCAAAGUGAGCCCUCUAUAGGCUUGGAGGAACCAUCGUUGCAAUAGCUGCUUAUUUCCUUCGGUCCCUGAAGUUCCAAAGCUGGAGAGUGACAGCG
rnacentral:lncRNA from 1 species